UGAGUGAGCUGUGCAGUAAACAGGAGAGCAGCUUAGUACACAAUUUAGGGCAAUGUCUGAGAGGUGCAUGAGAACUUCUCUGCUAAUAGACUAAUGUUCCUUCAUACCCUUUGCACUGAUUAUAUAUAAAAAUACUCGUGGAAAGGUCUUUGAUUGCUAGCUGAGGCAUCUGAAGCAGUUUCAUCGAACUCCAUGUGAUACUGGCACUGCCCAAGGCAAAAAAAAAAAAAAAACCUGAGUAAGUCUCUCUCUGCUGAAAUUACCCACUGGGAAAACACUCUGUUUUGUAACUGGUCCAUCUGUUGUCUAUCAGCUGGAGAAUGGAGGCCUGAGGCUGGGAGGGAAGUCAUAUACUGAUUGCAACUCUACAAAGGCAAGACUUCCCUGCUCCUACCCACUUCUAAUAAUGGGCCCAAACCUUACACCACUCCUUAUUCCUCAUAGAAGUGGCCUAGGCUCCUCUACAGUAGCAUGUUUCAUACCCAUCAGAGGGCCAAUUUCAAGUUCUGGAUGUCUGCAAAAAGGAUGAGCUGACCACUCUUUCAACUAGACAUCGGGCAAGAAAGAAAAUACAGUUCCUACCAUGUUAUCUUUGGAAGAGGUCCCCAUCUGUGGUAUAGUCACUGUAUCAAGGGAUUAGCCUGUGGAUUUGUUAGCUACUAAUGUAAUAGCUGAAUUUGUUAGUGCUGGUUUCAUGUUUCUGUUAGAUCCAUGUUGCCAAAGAAGAAGGAGGCACCUGAGGCCUGGAGCCUUGGUCAUCAUAGUACUAAACAGGAUUCAUGGUAUGGGAGAAGUUGUAUUAUGCAGCCUGCUUCAUGGAGCUUCCUUUCCACCGACCGCAACGGCUAGGCGAUCAAGAAGCCCUUCAGGAAGAAAAAAAAAGUAACAUUAAACUGUAUGAAAUCAUUGUGAUUGUACCUGUGUCCUAGCAGCACCAGAGAUUCAGCAACUAGUGGAAUGAAACCUCAUUUCGGUGUUCACUGAUGGAAAAAUCGCUCCUAUGCUUGUUCAUGACUCUCUGCAGAACCCUCAUGUGCAUAACAGGGAAAAGUUUGUAUUCUGAAACCUCUCUGGAAAAAAAUGCAACUGUUGUGACUGAUUAUGUUCUUGGAAUAGUAUAAAAUCAGAUAAAUUACAGCAGUUCUGCCAGGCUCACCAACACCACUUUUAAAGGUCUUAUUUUCAUUAAGGAAAACAAGGUAUUUUCAAAAUAUAUACGGACUGCCUGCUACUUGGAAUUAAAUGUGAUGCUUUUAAACUAUGUAAUGGUAUGUGGACUGCUCUAGACAGCUUACUUACGGAGAAUUAAUUGUAGUUUUUCCAGGUUACAUGAUGAAAGCCAAAAGUCUCAGGAAAUUCAGUGAAUUCACCAAAACUGACCAUCCGUCUCUGAAACGGUAGUGAACAGCACCUAGCAAACCUACUUUUGUUACUUCCAGAUAGCGACAAGAUUCCCUGGCUAGUAUGAGGUUUUAUGUGUGUUUUAAGAAAGUAAACCCU
rnacentral:lncRNA from 1 species